rnacentral:lncRNA from 10 species
GACAGGGGGCCGUCCUGGGAAAGCGCCCACGUGGCGCAGAAUUAGAGGCGGAGCCUACACGACCCUGUACCUUUGCUCCUAAGCAUGAAGAUGGGCUUCUGACCAAGUCCUGCUAGAGGACACUGAAAGGGCAAGCCUUGGGCUUUAACCAGGCAAUGUUCUCAUCCAUAUGAGCAAGGGCUUCAUGUUACUGGCCGUGGCCCUGUGCUGAGUCCUCCUCCCGCCCAUGGCCCUCUCCUCCUGGCCAGUGGUCCUCCGCCUGAACAUGGCCGACUUUGUCUUCAGUUUCCUCUGCCUCGGCAUUGGGCUCCUGAUUUCUCUUCAGCCUGACGCUCUUUUCAGUUAACGGCAAGGCGGUGCACCCAAGUCCGGUGGUGUCCUACCUGGUGACCUCCUACCUGUGCUGGGACGCCAGCGACUUGAUGCUGCACUCCGCAGGGCGCAGCGAGGCGGACAUCCAAACAGCGGAACUCAGACGCUGACUCCGAGCGCACCCCGGGCCUUCCCAUUUCAUACACCCUCGAGGAUGAGACCCAAGCACCUCCAAGGAAUAGCACCCGAGGUCUUCAGGACACCGACCGGUAGCCAUGGCCAGAUGCCCGGCCAACCCCUUCAGCGUGGCCACGCCCUGGAUAUUCGACCUCCCCUGAGGCCCCACCCCCUGAUAUCAGGCCACGCCCUCCGAGGGGACCGGUGGCAAACUCCAGCCCUCGCUCUAGGGCCCGCCCUUUGCGGCUUUGUCCCUGCCCACUGGGUCCUCACAGUACCUCCACCCCAGAGGCCCAGCAUCCCCUCCCGUUCUGCAGACACUUGUCCAGCGUCCCGCUGAGCUCGGCAGUGUGGCUAGUUUGUGUGGCCCUGCCCCUGGUGCCCAGCCAGGGUGGUCUGCAUGGAACUUCUUUCCCGGAGUUCCGGCCUCAGCUCCGAUGUCCACCCUUGUCCCCAGGUGGACACAGCACCGCCCAGCAUUUGGUGCAACUCCACCCUUCUGCAGAACGGGCCCCUCCCUGGGAAGGCAUGGCUUGCAAUAACAUCCCUCUGUACCUUUUCUGGCUUCCCCGCCACAAUAAAACCUCUCAGCCUCAGACCUUCCAUUGCCCCCCACCUCCCCACCAGGGCAGGGUCCAUCCUAGUGUGAGUGAACUGUUCUGGCGUCCCUGACUUGCCCUUUGGGA